UUGUCCUACGGGACGCAGCAGUCGGGAAUAUUGCGCAAUGGAGGAAACUCUGACGCAGUGACGCCGCGUAUAGGAAGAAGGUUUUCGGAUUGUAAACUAUUGUCAUUAGGGAAGAAAAAAGACAGUACCUAAGGAGGAAGCUCCGGCUAACUACGUGCCAGCAGCCGCGGUAAUACGUAGGGAGCAAGCGUUAUCCGGAAUUAUUGGGUGUAAAGGGUGCGUAGACGGGAAAAUAAGUUAGUUGUGAAAUCCCUCGGCUCAACUGAGGAACUGCAACUAAAACUGUAUUUCUUGAGUGCAGGAGA
rnacentral:rRNA from 1 species